rnacentral:rRNA from 1 species
ACCUCGGAUCAGGUAGGGAUACCCGCUGAACUUAAGCAUAUCAAUAAGCGGAGGAAAAGAAACCAACAGGGAUUGCCUUAGUAACGGCGAGUGAAGCGGC